GGGAAACGAGAGGAGGGGCCAGCCCCAGGCCCCUAAAUACCCAAGGCA
rfam:Mus musculus chromosome 8, GRC primary reference assembly.